rnacentral:miRNA from 1 species
AUGACCUAUGAACUGACAGCC